AAGUUACAGAGUGACGAUUGAUUGAAGGUUCACAUCCCCUGGAGAAAUGAGCCUGUUUAUUUCAGCAGCUACCAUCACCAACCAACUUUGUUCGCCACCACAUCACCAAAACGACAACUUCUCUCGGAACCUUUCAAUCCCCACAAAAUCCCACACCCAUACAUCUGCUCAUCAAUCUCUUACAGUCUCUUCAUGGACCUCAUCCAUCGGUCGUUACUGCCGAAACGGCCGCUUAGACCAUGCUGCUGCCGAGUUCACUCGCAUGAGACUUGCCGGAGUCCAACCCAAUCACAUUACCUUUGUCACUCUUCUUUCCAGCUGUGCUGAUUUCCCCUUGCAUGCUCUUUCCUUUGGAGUUUCGCUACACGCUCUUGUCUGUAAACUCGGGUUUCAUGCGGAUGACGUCAAGGUGGGUACGGCUAUUAUUGAUAUGUACUGUAAAUGCAAUCGGGUAGAUCUUGCUUGCUUGUGUUUUGGGAAGAUGGGUUUUAAGAAUAAGGUCACUUGGAAUACUCUGGUUGGUGGGUUGAUGAGAAAUGGCGAAAUUAAUAGAGCGGUCCAAGUGUUUGAUGGAAUGCCUGAGAGAGAUGUUAUUUCAUAUACAGCGUUAAUUGAUGGGUUUGUAAAGAAAGGUCAUUACGAACAUGCGUUGGAAUGGUUUCAAGAAAUGCAGACUUCUGGGAUUGAACCCGAUUAUGUUACCAUUGUUUCUGCACUAUCUGCGUGUGCAAAUCUUGGAGCAGGCGGAUUAGGCUUAUGGCUUCAUCGAGUUGUUUUGGAGAAGAAUAUGAGUGGCAACAUUCGGGUAAAUAAUUCAUUGAUAGACAUGUACUCCAGAUGUGGCUGCAUUGAAUUAGCUCGUCAAGUAUUUCACAGCAUGGCCAAACACAAUCUAGUCUCUUGGAACUCCAUCAUCGUUGGUUUUGCUCUUAAUGGAAAUCCUGAAGACACUCUUAAGUAUUUCCAUUGGAUGCAGAAAGAUGGUUUCAAGCCAGAUGAAGUGACUUUCACUGGGGCUCUUACUGCUUGUAGCCAUGCUGGCUUGGUUACCGAAUGUUUGAAACUUUUUGACACAAUGAUAAAAGUUCAUCGAAUAUCCCCUAGAAUCGAGCAUUACGGAUGUUUAGUAGAUCUUUAUAGUCGUGCCCGCAUGUUAGAAGAGGCCCUGAAUGUUAUAGAGAAUAUGCCCAUGCUACCAAAUGAAGUUGUGUUGGGAUCAGUUCUAGCAGCUUGCAGAGCUGCUGGAGAUAUUAGAUUAGCUGAAAAGUUGAUAAGGUUUAUAAGCGAACUGAACCCUGGCGGUGAUUCAAAUUAUGUUCUUCUUUCAAAUAUAUAUGCUGCUGGUGGAGAUUGGCAGAAGGCAAGCGGUGUGAGGAAGAGAAUGAAAAAUAGAGGUAUAGAGAAGAUUCCAGGUACGAGUUCAAUUGAAAUCAAUGGUAUAGUUGAUCAGUUUGUGGCUGGGGAUAGGUCCCAUGUUAAGUCGGAUCAUAUUUACGAAAUGCUACAAAAUCUAUCUUGUGAGCUAAUGAUUUCUGGCUAUGUUCCAGAAGUUAAUGCCAGGGAACAGUGCGAGUGAGCUAGAAAAGCCAAACCAAAUAUAUCCCACAUGGAAGUGGGGUCUGGGAGGAGAAGAUGUACGUGGACCUUAUCUAUCCUGAAAGAGUAGAGCAGCUGUUUCCAUGAAAACUCCCGGCUUGUAAAAAGUGUGACAAAGAGAGUCAGAUAAAGAAGUUUUGAAAAGCUGGCUAAGAGUAAGCAGUAAUUGGAAUUUAGCAACUGAGCUAGGACGCCUGUUUGCCAAAAAUGUAUCUACAAGAAGGUAUUCGAGGAGAAAAGUCGGAAAUGUCCAGUUUGCAACGUGGAAUUCAGCGAUCCUCCUGCAAAAGUA